rnacentral:rRNA from 1 species
UACGAAGGGUGCUAGCGUUGUUCGGAAUCACUGGGCGUAAAGCGCGCGUAGGCGGCCAUUCAAGUCAGGGGUGAAAUCCUUGGGCUCAACCCAAGAAUUGCCUUUGAAACUGUAUGGCUAGAGUGUCGGAGGGGAUAGCGGAAUUGCUAAUGUAGAGGUGAAAUUCGUAGAUAUUAGCAGGAACACCGGUGGCGAAGGCGGCUAUCUGGACGACAACUGACGCUGAGGCGCGAAAGCGCGGGGAU